rnacentral:ncRNA from 1 species
UCAUUUUAAUAGCCCCACCAUUACUCAUAGGUAUAAUACUUUGUACAGACCCCUUACCAAAAGAUUUUGUACCAACAAUAAUUGCGCGUUUGUGGUCUUGUAAAGCACCUGCAACAAUUUCAGAUGCCGAUGCAGAGCCACUAUUAAUGAGUAUUACAAUUGGCAGCCCAUUAGUAACAUCGCCACUUGAAGCCUCAAACUUAUUUAUAUUAUCAGGAUUUCUGCCUUUCGUUGACACAAUUGUUCCUGAAUCUAUAAAACUAUCAACAAUCAUAAUAGCCUGAUCUAAAAGCCCUCCCGGGUUAUUACGUAA